rnacentral:rRNA from 1 species
GACGAACGCUGGCGGCGUGCUUAACACAUGCAAGUCGUACGAAGUGGCGAACGGGUGAGUGAUACGUGGGUAACCUGCCCUCCUUUUUGGGAUAAGCCUUGGAUACGGGGUCUAAUACCGAAUAGAGGGGGAUGGGCUCGCGGCCUUUCAGCGUGUGGGUGGGGUGAUGGCAUACCAAGGCGGGGACGGGUAGACGGUCUGAGGCGGCAUGGGGACAGAUUGAGAGCGGAGUACGGUCCUGGUGCCUGCGGGAGGGAGCAGUGGGGGAUAGUGCGAAGUGGGAGAAAGCAUGAUGCAGGGAGGGCGGGUGGGGGAUGAAGGCUUUCGGGUUGUAAACCUCUUUCGCUGUCGAACGGGUAGGUGGAGAAGAAGCGCCGGCUAACUACGUGCCAGCAGCCGCGGUAAUUC